GAGUGACUUCUCCCCAGAUUUUUGUAUACCUGACUCUGUUUCAGCAUCCGCUUCCCAAAGAAUGCAGUGUGAAGCAGGAGCUUAUGUGAGAAGAAACGCAGGGAGACAGUUCAGUCACUGCAAUCUUCAUGCCCAUCAGUUUCUUGUGAGAAGAAAACAAGAAAACAAGGACUGAAAUCCACACAGGAAGGUGGCAGUGAACUCCACAGACGGACCUGGACGCCUCAACACUCCUGGCCUUACCUCCCUUGCUGAACGUCUCAAGUUUCUCUGCGUUCAGGUAAUGUAUAGGAGGGUUAUGAGGGCAGAGAAUUCCUAAGCUCAUUAGUAAAUUGCUCUUCAGAAAGUGCUUUGAAGCAAAGCUAAUUUCCUUUCCCAAUAUGAGAAGAUUUGGCCCUACCAGAAAAAGGAAAUGAUUUGAAUGUGCGCCAAAAAAUAUGUUUUCUUUCUUUUCUUUGUUGAACACUCAUCGGGAGUUACUCUUAUUAGUUCCGCAUUUUUAUUGCAUUU
rnacentral:lncRNA from 10 species